rnacentral:rRNA from 1 species
CACAUGCAGUCGAGCGGAGAGAGGUAGCUUGCUACUGAUCUUAGCGGCGGACGGGUGAGUAAUGCUUAGGAAUCUGCCUAUUAGUGGGGGACAACAUUUCGAAAGGAAUGCUAAUACCGCAUACGUCCUACGGGAGAAAGCAGGGGAUCUUCGGACCUUGCGCUAAUAGAUGAGCCUAAGUCGGAUUAGCUAGUUGGUGGGGUAAAGGCCUACCAAGGCGACGAUCUGUAGCGGGUCUGAGAGGAUGAUCCGCCACACUGGGACUGAGACACGGCCCAGACUCCUACGGGAGGCAGCAGUGGGGAAUAUUGGACAAUGGGCGCAAGCCUGAUCCAGCCAUGCCGCGUGUGUGAAGAAGGCCUUAUGGUUGUAAAGCACUUUAAGCGAGGAGGAGGCUACUUUAGUUAAUACCUAGAGAUAGUGGACGUUACUCGCAGAAUAAGCACCGGCUAACUCUGUGCCAGCAGCCGCGGUAAUACAGAGGGUGCAAGCGUUAAUCGGAUUUACUGGGCGUAAAGCGCGCGUAGGCGGCUAAUUAAGUCAAAUGUGAAAUCCCCGAGCUUAACUUGGGAAUUGCAUUCGAUACUGGUUAGCUAGAGUGUGGGAGAGGAUGGUAGAAUUCCAGGUGUAGCGGUGAAAUGCGUAGAGAUCUGGAGGAAUACCGAUGGCGAAGGCAGCCAUCUGGCCUAACACUGACGCUGA